AUGCCGCUCAAGCUCGUGUUCAUCGUCGUUGCUCCGGUGGCCUUGACGUGCGGCAUACUGCAACUCUCCGGCGUCCCCUGGCGAACCAAUGUAGGCAUCGGCAGCGUUCUGCUCGCCUUCCUCUUCGUCGUCGGGCUGUGCGAGCGCCUGCGCUCUGGCGCUAGGCCGCAUCGCCAGCUCCCGCAACAACCGGAGAGGGACCAGUCCAUGGCAGCACUUCCACGGGAACCGGCCGUGGGGCUAGGCCGGGCGGCGAUCGCCGGCCUGCCCGUGUACAAGUACGAGAAGCUGAGGUGCGGCGGCGGAGAGAGCCACGAGUGCGCGGUGUGCCUCGCCGAGGUCAGGCCCAAGGAGGUGGUGAAGCAGCUGCCGGCGUGCACGCACCUCUUCCAUGACCGGUGCAUCGAUGAGUGGCUCUGGUCUCACAGGACGUGCCCGGUCUGCCGGUCUCCGGUUGUUGCCUCCACUGUGCCGGCCGUCGAAGUUGCUGCCCGUGCUAUGCAAUCUGUCUAG
rnacentral:rRNA from 1 species